GACGAACGCUGGCGGCGUGCUUAACACAUGCAAGUCGAACGAUGAACCCGGAGCUUGCUCCGGUGGAUUAGUGGCGAACGGGUGAGUAACACGUGAGUAACCUGCCCUUGACUCUGGGAUAACUGCGGGAAACUGUAGCUAAUACCGGAUACGACCCUCGGCGGCAUCGCCAGGGGGUGGAAAGAAUUUCGGUCAAGGAUGGACUCGCGGCCUAUCAGCUAGUUGGUGAGGUAACGGCUCACCAAGGCGACGACGGGUAGCCGGCCUGAGAGGGUGACCGGCCAGACUGGGACUGAGACACGGCCCAGACUCCUACGGGAGGCAGCAGUGGGGAAUAUUGCGCAAUGGACGAAAGUCUGACGCAGCGACGCCUCGUGAGGGACGAAGGUCUUCGGAUUGUAAACCUCUUUCAGCAGGGACGAAGCGAAAGUGACGGUACCUGCAGAAGAAGCACCGGCUAACUAUGUGCCAGCCGCCGCAGUAA
rnacentral:rRNA from 1 species